AUGCUUGCUUAGGCAGCACAUAUACUAAAAAUUGGAAUGAUACAGAGAAGAUUAGCGUGGCUCAUGCGCAAGGAUGACACGCAAAUUCGUGAAGUGUUCCCUAUUUUU
rnacentral:snRNA from 1 species